rnacentral:rRNA from 1 species
AACGAACGCUGGCGGCGCGCCUAACACAUGCAAGUCGGACGGUGAACCGGGCUUCGGCCCGGGGAUCAGUGGCGAACGGGUGCGUAACACGUGGGCAACCUGCCCCCGACCCCGGGAUAACCCCGGGAAACCGGAGCUAAUACCGGAUACUCUCCUCCCACCGCUUGGUCGAGGGAGGAACGGCCCGCCGGUCGGGGAUGGGCCCGCGGCCUAUCAGCUUGUUGGUGGGGUAACGGCCUACCAAGGCGACGACGGGUAGCUGGUCUGAGAGGACGACCAGCCACACUGGGACUGAGACACGGCCCAGACUCCUACGGGAGGCAGCAGUGGGGAAUCUUGCGCAAUGGGCGAAAGCCUGACGCAGCGACGCCGCGUGGGGGACGAAGGCCUUUCAGGUCGUAAACCCCUUUCGGCAGGGACGAAGCGAUCUCGUGACGGUACCUGCAGAAGAAGCCUCGGCUAACUACGUGCCAGCAGCCGCCGUAAUAC